rnacentral:rRNA from 1 species
GACGGGGGAUGCAAGCGUUAUCCGGAAUCACUGGGCGUAAAGCGUCUGUAGGUGGUGAUGCAAGUCAGUGGUGCAAAACUGUGGCUCAACCGGAGGAAAGCAAGUGAAACUGCAUGACUAGAGUGUGGGAGAGGUAGAAGGAAUUCCCUGAGUAGCGGUGAAAUGCGUAGAUACAGGGAAGAACACCGGAGGCGAAAGCGUUCUGCUGGAACACAACUGACACUGAGAGACGAAAGCUAGGGGAGCGAAUGGG